AUGCCCCUGCCGCCUUGCUUCCCCUCCCCCUUGCCCCCGCAUCCUUGCUCCCCCACACCCCCGCCGUCGUCGCCUUGCUUUCGCCCCACCGCCCCACGCCGCUGCCUCGUUUCCCUCUGUCCGCCGCCCGCAGAGGAACACGAAGAUUCAGUUUUUCCCUCCGUCCUCCGUCCACCGUCCGCUGCCUCGUUUCCUUCCUCGCCGUCGACCACGAAGCUAGCACCCUCCUUGGUGGUUUUCGACCUGAGCAGUGGGAAGCACGUGUGCCCCUUUUCCACUUCCAAGAUGGAGCACUACACGGCUUCACCGACAUCGAUUACAUCUCGUCGGAACAUUACGCGGCUGCACCAAGGAGCUCGCCAGAGUCAAAGCAAGCAACAGCAUGACGAAGAGACUACAACAACAACAGUCGCUACAGAUCAAUCGACAGGGGAAGAACAGCAGAAGACCAGAGAUUGUACUGUACCUUCUUUUUCAGAGAAGAUCAGCAGCGAAGAACAGCAGGUCAGCACAAGCACGAGCUCCACCAACAAGCAUGCAGCAUGGGCAAGCGUACACGCACCCGAGCGUGGGUGA
rnacentral:rRNA from 1 species